GUAAUCGAACUACUUCAAUAUUACGCUUUUAUUUUAUAUUUUUUCAAUGUGAAACUACACACACAAUUAAAGUAAUUAUUUCAUAUUUCUAUGAACAUGAGAGUACUUUGAAACUAGGAAGUUCUUAUUAACGAGAAACAAAGUUCAACCACACACAAUUUAUUAUCGAACAAUAUUGCCAAAUUUCAGGCCCUGGUCUUGCCCAAAGCCAUGGACUUUGAUCACUUCACCUCAGAAGAGAACAGCUUUUAGCCUUCUGCACAACUCCUUCCUGCACAUAUGCAAAAAUUAUUUGAUAACAUCAAUUUCAUCUAGAGUCCUUGUUAAGGGAAGUUUGUUUUAGUUACCUGGUGAGUACUCUGUCGAGGCCUGAAGCGGAUAAUAGUCCCCUAUUUUCUUCAGCCCUCCUCAGAAGGUAUGGCAUUACAAUCUCAACGUGUCCAAAUGGCAAAUACUUGCUAACUUGAAAACCUGCAUUUCUUAAACCGAAAGAAAGUGCUUCUGCCAUUCCAUAAAGCUGUGCAAACUCGAGCUUUUUGUUCCAAUAUGCAAUUCCCAAAUCCUCUGCUUUUUUCGCAGCCAGACGCCCUGACUCUACAUUAUGGGUUGCAAGAAUGACUCCAUGCGAGCCAUUAGUGAUCGCCUCGAGCAGGAAAGAAGCACAGUCAUUGUAGCAAGAAUGUGUCUGCUGAAUGUUAUUAUGAAUGGGAGAUUGAUACCCUAGGGAAGAGGCUAAUUUUCUUUCAGUUGACAUAUAAGCACCCCUCACCAGCUUGAAUCCCAUAGAAACUCUCAUCUUGUCUGCAGCUUUAGUUGCUAGUAACAAUCUCUCUUUUGCAUCUUUCAAGUAGGCUUGAAUUGUUCCAUACACAAUAGGUUUAUCAUCUUUGUUGUACUUAAUUGCUGAUGAAUAUGUCAAGUAAUCUAUGGCAGGUUGAACUGUCGAAUGCUCUGCAUCGAUUACUAAUGGAACAUUGGCUUCCACACAUGCUUGACAUAGUUUCAAUAGCCUUUGCUGCCCUAAGAGAAGAUGUUUCUCCUCUUCUGGGGUUAAUGAUUCUGGUUUUUUGACUGUGUGAUAUAAAGGGCCAGAAUCAGAAAAAAUUGGAAGUGUAUUCUGUUUCCAUGGAAGAUUGAAAGAGGGGUGUUUUUGUUGCCACCUUAGUAAAUCACUAACUCGUUCAAGCAAGUUGAGAGGGCAAAUUGCUGUGAUCUUGACAACCACUGAGCUCACAGUGGAUGGAGGGAGAGACUUGGCAGCUUCAACGGUGCUGAGAAACCCAUGAAAAUUUCGAUCACAGACAUCGUUAUCACUUGCAAACUCCACGGCAAAAUCAAGCAUCCCUCUUAAGCCGGACUCAUUGAGUCUCUUCAAACAGUUGGCUGCUUCCACAGUAUCCUCUCCAGCACAAAAAUGUUCAUAAAAACUAUGCCUUAUGGCCCUCAAUAUAAGAUCACGUAUAAUAUUAUCCAUACCCAUGAGCCUAGAAUUCAUAACCCAGAUGCCGAAAUCAACCAGCGGCUCCAUGGCAGCCAUGUGAAGAAUAAGAGAAGCAUGCAAGAGUUUUAGAGUGGGCAAGGGGGCAAACAGUUUUUGGUGAUCCUGGAGGUCGAGGAUAGAUGGUGGUGAUUUUGGAAGGGUAGCUGUGGGUAGGGGGUUUUGAGUCAAGUUGAGGGAAGGGAUGGAGGAGAUGGGGGAGGAGGAGGCUGAGGAGGAGGUGGUGGAGGAGGAGGUGACGAGUGGUCUGGUGAAGAAGCGGAGGUUCUUGAGCAGUUUUGAAGAAAGGACUUUGGCGGCCAUCCGUCUUUCGGAACCGGGGUUUUUUUUU
rnacentral:misc_RNA from 1 species